rnacentral:rRNA from 1 species
AGCGGCGGACGGGUGAGUAAUGCCUAGGAAUCUGCCUGGUAGUGGGGGACAACGUUUCGAAAGGAACGCUAAUACCGCAUACGUCCUACGGGAGAAAGCAGGGGACCUUCGGGCCUUGCGCUAUCAGAUGAGCCUAGGUCGGAUUAGCUUGUUGGUGAGGUAAUGGCUCACCAAGGCGACGAUCCGUAACUGGUCUGAGAGGAUGAUCAGUCACACUGGAACUGAGACACGGUCCAGACUCCUACGGGAGGCAGCAGUGGGGAAUAUUGGACAAUGGGCGAAAGCCUGAUCCAGCCAUGCCGCGUGUGUGAAGAAGGUCUUCGGAUUGUAAAGCACUUUAAGUUGGGAGGAAGGGCAGCUAGCGAAUACCUGGUUGUCUUGACGUUACCGACAGAAUAAGCACCGGCUAACUCUGUGCCAGCAGCCGCGGUAAUACAGAGGGUGCAAGCGUUAAUCGGAAUUACUGGGCGUAAAGCGCGCGUAGGUGGUUUGUUAAGUUGGAUGUGAAAGCCCCGGGCUCAACCUGGGAACUGCAUCCAAAACUGGCAAGCUAGAGUAUGGUA